GACGAACGCUGGCGGCGUGCUUAACGCAUGCAAGUCGAACGGAAAGGCCCUGCUUUUGUGGGGUGCUCGAGUGGCGAACGGGUGAGUAACACGUGAGUAACCUGCCCUUGACUUUGGGAUAACUUCAGGAAACUGGGGCUAAUACCGGAUAGGAGCUCCUGCUGCAUGGUGGGGGUUGGAAAGUUUCGGCGGUUGGGGAUGGACUCGCGGCUUAUCAGCUUGUUGGUGGGGUAGUGGCUUACCAAGGCUUUGACGGGUAGCCGGCCUGAGAGGGUGACCGGCCAGAUUGGGACUGAGAUACGGCCCAGACUCCUACGGGAGGCAGCAGUGGGGAAUAUUGCACAAUGGGCGGAAGCCUGAUGCAGCAACGCCGCGUGCGGGAUGACGGCCUUCGGGUUGUAAACCGCUUUCGCCUGUGACGAAGCGUGAGUGACGGUAAUGGGUAAAGAAGCACCGGCUAACUACGUG
rnacentral:rRNA from 1 species